CUGACGACCGACGUAGAGUUAGUGGCACUAAAAUGGCCCACUUAGAGUUAGUGUGGCGCUUAUCAAAGCCCACGACAAUAGUUAGUUGUGGCGCUUACCAAGGCCCACCGCGUAACAGAAGUGCAAUAAGCACAAUCGCUAGCAUACGGGCCCUAACUAGGUGAUCAAUCAAUUACCAGAUUUAUUCAAUAAUCAGUAAUCGCUACUGCUCAUAUUAACACAUAUAUUAAAUCAGAUAUAUCAGCAAAGUAACAAAACAUGUAUCAUAUUAAGUAAUAAAUAUGGUAAAGAAGCAUAUAAAAUCUUAAGAUUAAACGGGCAUUACCCUAUCAUGCAUAUAGCCUUAAUAAUAAUAAACUCAUAAUGGAACGUCUAACCCGGUCGGAUACGCAGGAGACCCUCACCAGAAAUAAUCCUUGAGAAUACCAAUAUAAGCUUCCGAGUCGAUAACGUAAUUUCGAAGAUCGUUAUAACAAACCGAGUACUAGCUUUUCUCUGUAUGUCCUUUGUUUUAGUGUAAGCUAUCUCCGUAUUUCCCGGUAUGAAGCUGAAUAUCUUAAGCCCUUUUAUAUAGUGGAAAUAGGGGCAUACCACUACUUGCACUAGCCUCCAAGACUAAACUCCCUAAUAUGUCCAUUUUCCCUAAUUUACUUUGUCCAUUAGUAGCAGGAUAAAUAUCUAGAUUAGUAGCAGCAUAAAUAUUUAGGAAUCUAGUCAUUUCUUACACUCUGUGAAACAUUCUCCAUGCAUGCAAUAUGAAAAAGCCUCCCCCAAGACUUGCCACGUCCACUAGCGAUGGUGAUAAUUGAUAUACAUGAAAUAUGAAUAAUUAAUUAUAUAAGGUCUACUAUGUACAAGUGCAUGGGUAUCCAUGCUUAUCAUGAACCUGGACCAUAGCUCAUUCCAAAUUAAUUUAGUCGGUGUUUCUUUACGAUCGGGCCAGAAUGUUACAAUUCCUCCCCUAUUAAGAGAUUUCGUCCUCGAAAUCUAGGUCCUAAUCUCUCGGCUAGCUUGUGUUGAAUAUAGUUAAUUAUCAUUACUUUCCUCCCUAGUUGAAUAUAGCUAGUUACUAUUCCUUCAUUCACAAGUAACACAUAACAUGUAAGGUUUUCCAAACUUUAAGUAUAUAACCUAAGCUAAGUGAUCAGAACAUAAACAUAUCAAUGAAGAAACCAGUAAUAAGUUAACUUGAUAAGUAAGCCCCUACUAGCUCAGGGUACUUCUCCCGCAUAAUUGCUUCUGUCUCCCAUGUAGCAGACUCACUCUACUGAUUUCUCCAUACCACUUUCAACAUAGGGAUCUGCUUAUUUCGCAAGGAUCAAACUUGUGAAUCUACAAUCCGAACUGGCACUUCCUGGUACGAUAAAUCUUCCUCCAACUCUACCUCCUCAGGUUGGACAAUAUGAGAUGGAUCCACAUGAUACUUUUUAAGCAGACUCACAUGAAACACGUUAUGGAUUCGGUCUAGCUCAGUUGGUAAAGCAAGGGCAUAAGCAACUGGUCCCACUUUACCUAUAAUGUCAUAAGGUCCAAUAUACCUCGGAGCUAGCUUUCCUUUUCUCCCAAAUCGCAUUAGACCUUUCCAAGGAGAUACCUUAAGAAAAACCUUUUCCCCACCUCAUAACGGAUCUACCGAGUUCGACGAUCUGCAUACUGCUUCUGACAAUCCUGAGCCACUCUAAGUUUUUCCCGAAUCACUUUCACCUCAUCAACUGUUUCUUGAACUAACUCUUGCCCCAUUAUUUGUCUUUCUCCUUCUUUAUCCCAACACAACAGAGUUCUACACUUUCGUUCGUACAAUGCCUCAAACGGAACUGUAGCCAGACUACUGUGGUAAGAGUUAUUAUAAGCAAACUCUACCAUGGUAACAACUUUGUCCAAGGUUUUUGAAACUCAUUUACACAGGUUCGCAACACCUCCUCCAACGUAAGUAUAGUUCUCUCGGUUUGUCCAUCAGUCUGUGGGUGAUGUGCCGUGUGUGGAUGAUAUGCCGUAGAAAAGUUCAACCUUGUCCCCAAAGCCUGAUGCAAACUUUUCCAAAAAUGUGAUGUGAAGCUCGGGUCUCGAUCCGACACAAUUGAGAGUGGAACACCAUGGAGUCGAACUAUAUGCUCCACGUAUAACCUUGCUAAUAUCUUAUUGUUAGGCUUGUAUCGUAUUGGAAUAAAAUGAGCCACUUUUGUCAUUCUAUCCACAAUCACCCAUACUACAUCUUUCCCAUCCUGUGUAGGUGGAAGUCCGCUUACAAAAUCCAUAGUAAUGUGCUCAAAUUUCCAUUCUGGAAUGCGUAACGACUACAAUUUACCCGCUGUGCCUGGUGUUCCAUCUUUGUCCUUUGACAUACCAAACAAGUUAAGACAUGUUCAGCUACCUGUCUUUUCAUUCCCGGCCACCAGAAAUGAGGUCGGAUAGUGUGAUACAUUUUAGUUGCACCUGGAUGCAUAGCAUAGACUGAGGAAUGUGCCUCAUCCAAUAUCUCCUUCCUCGGGUUUUCAACAUUUGGAACACAUACUCGACCCUUUAUCUUCAGCAGGUCGUCUGAGAUCUCAAACUCGCUUUCAUGUCCCUCCUUUAUCUCGUUCAUGAUCUUCUGAAGUUUUGGAUCUUCUUUUUGCCUCUCUUUUAUUUGAUCAUGAAGUAAAGGUCUGAUAGUCAAACGAGCCAUCAAUGUUUCCAUCUCAUCCAUUUCCAAGUCCACUCUUUAAGAUAUUUCAAACUCUUAUGAUCUGUCAUAAUCUUAAAUGUUUCACCGUACAGAUAGUGACGCCACAUUUUCAAGGCAUGAACCACUGCUGCCAACUCGAGGUCAUGGGUAGGAUAGUUAACCUCAUGGGGUCGUAGUUGCCUUGAUGCAUAAGCAAUUACUUUUCCAUCCUGCAUUAGUACACAUCCCAACCCCUGAUGGGAUGCAUCACUAUACACCACAUAUUCACCCCUAGAAGUGGGUAAAGUGAGUAUCGGUGCGGUAGUGAGUCUAGUCUUUAACUCCUCAAAACUGUCUUGGCACCUCUUAUCCCAACUAUAAGUCGUACCCUUACUCAAGAGCUUCGUCAAAGGCAUAGCAAUUUUAGAGAAUCCCUCAACAAACCUUCGAUAAUAUCCAGCCAUACCUAGGAAGCUUUGUAGUUCUGACACAUUGAUGGGUGGCUCCCACUUAACCACAGCUUCAAUCUUUCUCGGGUCCACCUCUAACCCUUUUCCAGAUAUCAAGUGACCUAGGAAUAAAACUUCCUUUAGCCAAAAGGCACACUUUGAAAAUUUACCGUAUAACUCCUUUUCCCUAAGGAGAUUCAAUACCAUCCUAAGGUGCUCUGCAUGCUCCUCUUUACUUUUUGAGUAUAUCAGGAUGUCAUCAAUAAAUACUAUCAUAAAUUUGUCAAGAAAUUCAUGGAACACCUUGUUCAUGAGUGCCAUAAACAUUGCUUGUGCAUUAGUCAAUCCAAAUGGCAUCACUAAGUACUCAUAGUGUCCAUAACGAGUACGAAAUGUUGUUUUAGGAAUGGCUGAUUCAGAAACCCUCAAUUGAUGGUAGCCAGAUCUGAGAUCAAUCUUGGAAAAUACUGAUGCACCUUGAAGCUGGUCAAACAGGUCAUCAAUCCUAGGCAAAGGAUACCGAUUCUGAACUGUCACUCGAUUCAGAUGACGAUAAUCUAUGCACAUCCUCGUCGAUCCAUCCUUCUUCUUUAGAAACAAUACAGGUGCUCCCCAAGGUGAGACGCUCGGUCUUAUGAAACCUUUGUCCAAGAGUUCCUGUAAUUGCUUUUUUAGCUCAGCCAAAUCCACCAGUGCCAUCCUAUAUGGUGCUAUCAAAAUGGGUGCAGUUCCUGGCACCAACUCGAUAUCAAAAUCAACCUCUCUUUUAGGAGGAAGUCCUGGAAAUUCUUCAGGAAAUACAUCCAGAAAUUCCCUUACUACCGCUACCUCUUCCAUUUUCUCAGUGUUUUCCACGGUCAUAUGGGCAAGGUAUGCUUCACAUCCAUUCUGAAUAAGUUUGGAAGCUUGAAUAGCUGACAAGCAUGGGGACCUUUCAUGCUCCUUCCUUUGUAUGCCUUUAAACAAAAUUUUCCCCUUUCCAGGAAGUUUAAUCUUAACUUCCUUUCUUCGACAAUUCAACAUUGCCCCAUGUUGAGUUAACCAGUCCAUUCCGAGGAUUAUAUCAAACUCGUCAAAUGGCAGCAACAUUAGAUUUGCUGAUAGCGGAACUCCUUCAACGUUUAAGAAAACGUUCCGAAUAACUGAUUUUAUCUCCACAAUUUUCCCCACCGGAGUUCUAACCUCAAAACUAUACCCCAACUCCUCAGGUGCCACUUUUAACAUUAGUGCAAAUUUGCAGGAAAUGAAAGAAUGUGUGGAACCAGUAUCAAAUAAGGCAUAUAAGGUACGUCCAAGGAUAGAGAGCGUACCCGUAACCGCAUCUGUCGCAAACUCAGCCUGCUCCCGAGUCAUGGCAUAUACCUUGCCCUAAGCUUGUUCUCCCGAUUGUUGAUUACCAGAGGGCUGAGAACGACUACCAAGUGGUCAUGAAUUUGCUCCCGUACCUCUUCCUCCUUGAAAUCCCACACUUUCCUGAUAGCUAUUACCUCGGUUCCCUCUAAACCCGCUCCCAGAUGGAGCUCUGUUACUCUGCUGAACCGAUACCUCAGAUUGGGCUUGAUCAACCACCAACGGACAGUUAUUGAGUCGAUGUCUCUGAUCCCCGCAUCUAAAACAACCCCCUGUCAAUAUUCUGCAUGUCCCAAAAUGCCUCCUCCCACAAUGCUGGCAAAUCACUGUUGGUGCUUGUGUGUAUGAUGUUUGCUGUUGUGACACAUUCUGAACAGGUCUCUGAUAAGACAUUCUAGUUGGUCCCCGUUUUGCCAUCGGUCCCUAUCCAGAGUAGCUCACAUUAUGACUUACCGCUUUUCUUUUUAGAUCCUCCUUAUUUUCUUCCCAUUCCUUAUUUCCCUUGUUGUCUAGAUAUUCGGCGCUUAAAGCAACUUGUUUAAUAUCCUUCCAGCUGGCCAUGUUAGAACUGGAGAUCCCUUUCUGAAUAUUUGUUCGAAACCCUGCUAGAAAAUGCUUCUUCAGAAUUGUGGUUCGCUCUGAUGGAAUGAUAUGGUGCCAUCUGGAUAAUCGAGUAAAUUCGAUAUGAUACUUCUGGACUGUCAGNNNNNNNNNNNNNNNNNNNNNNNNNNNNNNNNNNNNNNNNNNNNNNNNNNNNNNNNNNNNNNNNNNNNNNCUGAUCAGUGAUAAAUUCUGCAUCGAAUCUUAUUUGAAACUCCUACCAUCCCAAACUGAAGGGAUCUUCCUUAUACACUGUUGUGGCCUCCCACCAAGUCCUAGCAUGCCCUCAAAGCAAGAAAACACAGUAGUGAAGCCGCUCGUCCGAUGUGGCUCCCAGCUGGUCAAACGUCGCGUUCAUGUCACGAAUCCAAUCAACAGCUACUUGUGGAUCUGUACUUUCCCCAUCAAAUUCCUUCCCUCCAUAACCUUUCAUCCUCUUAUAAUCUAACACUGCUCGAGGUGGGUUCAUAUGAAUGCCUCCACCCUAAUCAAGAUCUCCACCCUGAUAAAGACUCUGGUGCACACUGGAAGAAGAAUGGUCUUUAGUGAUCCUCUUUCAAAAAUACUCUUUAAUUUCAAAACCCCUUUUAGAAAUCCUUUCCAAAUCAUGAUGCCUAUGUGCAACUGACAAUGCAUCACAAAACACACAAUCACUCGAUCACUUAUGCAAAUACGGGUAUGGAAUGCCUCCCCUCUUUUGAGGUUCGCGACGCCCCAAGAGAAAAAGUAGCAUACCUAUAAUGCAGAAGACGACCGGACUCUGAUACCACCAUGUAACACCCAUACUACUAACAAGUUCGUUUAAAAAUAAAACAGCGAAGCAAUAAUAGGGUGUUACGCUACUUAUACCGUAUAUAUAAUUUAAUGUUUACACUCCUCCAAUUAAUUCCUUCAUCAUAAUCUAGGAUUGUGCUUAUACGUACUUAACUAAUUAAUUCGUCAACACAAAAACUGCUCACGAUGUCAUAUAUGACUUAUUGAUUUUUCACAAUACAAUACAGUAUACCAGAAGUCCAGCAGAACACGUAUACAUAUAGAGCAUAAGUCUCGAGCUUCAUAGGCUCGGCCAGAGUAACCAUAUACUUGCCCUCAAGACCAUUAUAUUUUACAAAACCAUAUCUCACAUUGUACUAGUACACAACCACUCAUAACAUAUGCACAUGAUGGAAGUAAGAGUCUCAAACGAUCUUUAAACACAAAUCGAGGAUCAAGACACAAUCUUCAAUAUCUACCUGGCGUCGUGACCAUGAUGACCGACCCCGUAGCUCGAUGAUACCAUUUUGCAGUGUGUGAACCAGUAAAGUCUACUGUCGCUCUGAAAUGGAAAGUAAGUGAGGAUCUAUGUCCUAGUCACUCUAAGGUACAAAUAAGCAUAUAGAAAGUAUACAGCAUAUAACACAUAAGGCUAAUUCUAUAAUCUAAUUUAUAUCCAUAUUUUAUUUGGGAUCCCGGCUCACAUAUGCUGACGACUCACGUAGAGUUAGUGGCACUAAAAGUGGCACUAAAAUGGCCCACGUAGAGUUAGUGUGGCGCUUAUCAAAGCCCACGGCAAUAGUUAGUUGUGGCGCUUACCAAGGCCCACCGCGUAACUGAAGUGCAAUAAGCACAAUCGCCAGCAUACGGGCCCUAACUAGGUGCUCAAUCAAUUACCAUAUUUAUUCAAUAAUCAGAAACAGCUACUGCUCA
rnacentral:lncRNA from 1 species